rnacentral:rRNA from 1 species
AUUGAACGCUGGCGGCAUGCUUUACACAUGCAAGUCGAACGGCAGCGCGGGCUUCGGCCUGGCGGCGAGUGGCGAACGGGUGAGUAAUGCAUUGGAACGUGCCCAGUAGUGGGGGAUAGCCCGGCGAAAGCCGGAUUAAUACCGCAUACGACCUGAGGGUGAAAGCGGGGGACCGAAAGGCCUCGCGCUCUUGGAGCGGCCGAUGUCGGAUUAGCUAGUUGGUGGGGUAAAGGCUUACCAAGGCGACGAUCCGUAGCUGGUCUGAGAGGACGACCAGCCGCACUGGGACUGAGACACGGCCCAGACUCCUACGGGAGGCAGCAGUGGGGAAUUUUGGACAAUGGGGGCAACCCUGAUCCAGCCAUGCCGCGUGCGGGAAGAAGGCCUUCGGGUUGUAAACCGCUUUUGUUCGGGAAGAAAUCCUCUGGGCUAAUACCCCGGGGGGAUGACGGUACCGGAAGAAUAAGCACCGGCUAACUACGUG